rnacentral:rRNA from 1 species
CCUACGGGAGGCAGCAGUAGGGAAUAUUUCUCAAUGGGGGCAACCCUGAAGCAGCAACGCCGCGUGAAGGAUGAAGGUUUUAGGAUUGUAAACUCCUUUUUUGAAAGGAGAUAAUGACGUUAUCUCACAAAUACGCACCGGCUAACUCCGUGCCAGCAGCCGCGGUAAUACGGAGGCUGCAGGCGUUACUCGGAAUUACUGGGCGUAAAGAGUGCGCAGGCGGGCUUGUAAGUCAGAUGUGAAAUCCUGUAGCUUAACUAUAUAACUGCAUUUGAAACUAUGAGUCUUGAGUGUGGGUGAGGUAGGUGGAAUUCUUGGUGUAGGGGUAAAAUCCGUAGAUAUCAAGAGGAAUACUCAUUGCGAAGGCGACCUACUAGAAUAUCACUGACGCUCAUGCACGAAAGUGUGGGGAGCAAACAGGAUUAGAUACCCCUGUAGUC